rnacentral:rRNA from 2 species
UACGGAGGGUGCGAGCGUUGUUCGGAUUCACUGGGUAUAAAGAGUUCGUAGGCGGCCCCGUAAGUCAGAGGUGAAAGCUGUCGGCUCAACCGACAAAUUGCCUUUGAAACUGCAGGGCUUGAGUCCGGGAGAGGAAGGUGGAAUUCCUGGUGUAGCGGUGAAAUGCGUAAAUAUCAGGAGGAACACCGGUGGCGAAGGCGGCCUUCUGGCCCGGCACUGACGCUGAGGAACGAAAGCCAGGGGAGCGAACGGG